CCUACGGGAGGCAGCAGUAGGAAUAUUGGACAAUGGGCGCAAGCCUGAUCCAGCCAUGCCGCGUGUGUGAUGAAGGCCUUAGGGUUGUAAAGCACUUUCACCGAUGAAGAUAAUGACGGUAGUCGGAGAAGAAGCCCCGGCUAACUUCGUGCCAGCAGCCGCGGUAAU
rnacentral:rRNA from 1 species